rnacentral:rRNA from 1 species
ACGAACGCUGGCGGCGUGCCUAACACAUGCAAGUCAAGGGUAGAAAUACACUGGCGCACGGGUGAGUAACGCGUAGGUCAUCUGCCCCUAUCUCUGGCAUAACAUCGAGAAAUCGGUGCUAAUAUCAGAUGAGGUGGUAACAUCAAAGGUUUCGGCUGGAUAGGGAUGAGCCUGCGUCUGAUUAGCUUGUUGGUGGUGUAAAAGACCACCAAGGCGACGAUCAGUAGCUGGUCUGAGAGGACGAUCAGCCACACUGGAACUGAGACACGGUCCAGACUCCUACGGGAGGCAGCAGUGAGGAAUAUUGGUCAAUGGGGGAAACCCUGAACCAGCGACGCCGCGUGCGGGAUGAAGGGGCUUUGCCCUGUAAACCGCUGUCGGAGGGGAAGAAAAGCCGGGUCGCCCGGCUGGGACUGUACCCUUAGAGGAAGGUUCGGCUAACUACGU